GCGGACGUGGUGGAACUGGUAGACACGCAGGCUUGAGGGGCCUGUGAGCGCAAGCUCGUGGAGGUUCAAAUCCUCUCGUCCGCA
rnacentral:tRNA from 1 species